rnacentral:lncRNA from 1 species
UCUUUUGUUAUUAGAUAAUUCAGCCUUCCCGCCAGCUCAACCCGAGGCGUAGGAGCGGACUGUGGAACGCAUCAAAUCUGUGAGUUAAAGUCAUUUAAUCUUUGCACUAUUGCUAGGUCUGAUUUUAAUACGCUAUUUUAGAAUUUAUGCUUAACAUGAUUAUUAGUAUCACAAAAUAAAUGAUUUCACUUGAUUAAUAAUAUUUGAAAUAAGAUAAAUAUUAUUAUUAUUAAUGUUAUAAUAAUACAAGCGUUAUUAUUUUUCCCCCUCACGAAUUGCACGUUGUUUUACCCUAAAUCGUUAAUCUUUGUUUCGAUAUGUGUUGGGUGAGUUCAUUAGAUAAUGAUAUUUAUUAUUUGUGAUGAUUGAGAAUUGGGAAAUGUGGCUUUCGUAGAACAUGCCACCUGAUGGGUUACAUCAGGACCGUGUGCGCACCGGUAAUGAUCAUGGACAUGUAAUAAGAUUUUUAUGGGUUUGCCCUGGUCGAGCAUGGCUCUCUGGGCUGAUUUGUGUAAAUUGCCGGAGGUAAGGUCCCUGGUCGAGCAUUGCUCUCGGGGCGCCAGUCUUAUUGGAUUAAGAGAGCCAAAAUGGCUGUUAGAAUUUGGGGUUAGGGUUCUACUUAGCCACACGUCCCGUGAAAGUAAAAAUGUCUUUAUUUAUUUACUCUCUCUCCUUUUAUCAUUUUAUUAUUAUGGUGUAUGAUUAUAUAUUAUGAUUGCAAUUAUAUUCAGAAAUUGGUAUAUUGUUUUGAAUAAUUAAUAUAUCAUGUGAAGGUUGCAAUAGUCCUUAGAUUAUUUGAUUUUAACUCACUCCCGAGACUGACAGUCUCAAUUGUAAAUUUUUCAGGUGGCAGUUAAAGACCUUCGCCAUCGCACAUUUGACAGUCCGACUUCUUCUUCUUCGGACUUUUGUAAUUAUCUUGUACUUCUAUACUUAUCAUUAUUACUCUAGAGUAUCCGCAGUAGAAAAUUUUAAAAUUUAUAUAGCUAUUCUGACUCAUGUUGGUAGUAUGAUGAUUCAUUUAUGCAAUACAAUUAUGAAUACUUUAUAUUUUGUUAUUUGACUAUCUGGAUUUAUGGGUUGGUAAGGCUUGCUACGGGUUUUGGUAGCCUUAAGCCUACCCAUUCCCUAGUGCCGGUCACGGGCCCACAA